rnacentral:rRNA from 1 species
GACGAACGCUGGCGGCGUGCCUAAUACAUGCAAGUAGAACGCACAGUUUAUACCGUAGCUUGCUACACCAUAGACUGUGAGUUGCGAACGGGUGAGUAACGCGUAGGUAACCUGCCUGGUAGCGGGGGAUAACUAUUGGAAACGAUAGCUAAUACCGCAUAAUAUUGAUUAUUGCAUGAUAAUUGAUUGAAAGAUGCUAUUGCAUCACUACCAGAUGGACCUGCGUUGUAUUAGCUAGUAGGUGAGGUAACGGCUCACCUAGGCGACGAUACAUAGCCGACCUGAGAGGGUGAUCGGCCACACUGGGACUGAGACACGGCCCAGACUCCUACGGGAGGCAGCAGUAGGGAAUCUUCGGCAAUGGACGAAAGUCUGACCGAGCAACGCCGCGUGAGGGAAGAAGGUUUUCGGAUCGUAAAGAUCUGUUGGAAGAGAAGAACGGGUGUGAGAGUGGAAAGUUCACACUGUGACGGUAUCUUACCAGAAAGGGACGGCUAACUACGUG